UGGCGAACGGGGGAGUAACGCGUGAGGAACCUGCCUCAAAGAGGGGGACAACAGUUGGAAACGACUGCUAAUACCGCAUAAGCCCACGACCCGGCAUCGGGUAGAGGGAAAAGGAGCAAUCCGCUUUGAGAUGGCCUCGCGUCCGAUUAGCUGGUUGGUGAGGUAACGGCCCACCAAGGCGACGAUCGGUAGCCGGACUGAGAGGUUGAACGGCCACAUUGGGACUGAGACACGGCCCAG
rnacentral:rRNA from 1 species